UAUUGGGAGAGAAUGUUGAGGAUGUAGCUAAGUUUUCUGCUGAUACUGCAGAUAGAGUGGAUGGGUGAGAAGCAGUGCCAGCUGAGCAGAUGUAAACGUUUUUGGAUGAAAAGAGGCUUACACAUCUAGUGAUUUAGGUAAGUGAGGUGAUGUGUGUUUGAUUUGGUUAUCAGUUUUAAGGAAGAGAUGGGGUAGUCCUGGGUACAUGCUAAUAUAAGUUGUGCAGUGGCUGAAGGAACUCGGUGGAAGGGAACAUUGCCUAUCCAGUCCUGGCUGCUGGUGUGUGUGUGUGUGUGGUGUGUGUGGUGGUAGUGGGUAGGAAGGCUGGUGUGGAUAAGUGUUCUGCUCUAUUAGCUGUUGAAUAACUUGCUGCUGAAGAUGGGAUUCUAAAAUAUAUAUGCCAGACAUGC